GAUGAACGCUGGCGGCGUGCCUAAUACAUGCAAGUCGAGCGAACAGACGAGGAGCUUGCUCCUCUGACGUUAGCGGCGGACGGGUGAGUAACACGUGGAUAACCUACCUAUAAGACUGGGAUAACUUCGGGAAACCGGAGCUAAUACCGGAUAAUAUAUUGAACCGCAUGGUUCAAUAGUGAAAGACGGUUUUGCUGUCACUUAUAGAUGGAUCCGCGCCGCAUUAGCUAGUUGGUAAGGUAACGGCUUACCAAGGCAACGAUGCGUAGCCGACCUGAGAGGGUGAUCGGCCACACUGGAACUGAGACACGGUCCAGACUCCUACGAGAGGCAGCAGUAGGGAAUCUUCCGCAAUGCGCGAAAGCCUGACGGAGCAACGCCGCGUGAGUGAUGAAGGUCUUCGGAUCGUAAAACUCUGUUAUUAGGGAAGAACAAAUGUGUAAGUAACUAUGCACGUCUUGACGGUACCUAAUCAGAAAGCCACGGCUAACUACGUG
rnacentral:rRNA from 1 species